UCUGAUAGUCGUCCCUUUUGAUCUACCUCUUAAAAAAGGGAAAGUAAAAUUUUAAAAAACGGUCAAACCAAGUAAUAAAGUUUUCCUUUCGGGAUUUGUGAAUGAUUAAACUUACUUGUAGCUUACUUAAGUCUGUUUUAUUUGCUGGAAUUAUUUUACGGUAACGUGAAUUCUUUGUGUGUUCCUCUGGAAUUUUGACAUCAUAUUAUCCAUUUAUUUAUUGCGGCCCUAUUAUGUUCUGCCUUGUCCAUGCUGAUAUUUUGCCACAGAAUUAAAUUUAGUUAGAAAACCAAUUUUUAGGGGGUUCUCCAAAUGUUCUCUACAGUUCUCUAAAUGUCCCCUAAGUGUCUCCUAAGUUCUAUGGAUUUUUCUCAGUUUCUUCAUGUCCUUCUUAGCUGAUUGACCAAGGUAGGCUAUAAGUAACCUGAUGAAGAAAGCUGCUAUAUAUCAACACCUCAACCCUCAACUGAUAGCAUCCUCAACACCUCGCCGUCGAUUCCCAAUUGUGUCGAGAGGUAUAUGACCGAACGAGGAAUAAUACUGGCAAGUCCGUUCUAAUUUUAUUAUAGUUAUAUUUAUUGCUAUUUUCACAUUCUAAAAGGAAAAUUAAAUAAGGAAAACUCCAAAAUAUUGUCUAUUGGUUUAAUAGUAUAACAAUUUACCAGUUUCCUAAACAGUUAAAAACUUUUCACUUUUAUAAGAGUUUUAUAGUUUAAUUCAAGUGUAGAUGUAUCCAGGUUAAACAGAAUAAUAAUAUUAUAUCCUCACUUAUGUAAAUAUAGUCCUGUGUUUGCGGUUUAUUUUAUCAUAAUAAUUAGUGGUAUAUAAAUACUUGAUACUUGUUCCCCUGCGCCGAAAGUUCAUGAAUUUUCCCAGGUUCUAAAAGAAUAAUUAUUUCUAACUAUUUAUUAAUUACUUAGCGCACAUAGAACUGUA